CGAAAAGUACGUCUCAGUUCGGAUUGGAGUCUGCAACUCGACUCCAUGAAGCUGGAUUCGCUAGUAAUCGCGCAUCAGCCAUGGCGCGGUGAAUACGUUCCCGGGCCUUGUACACACCGCCCGUCAAGCCAUGGAAGCCGGGGGUGCCUGAAGUGCGUGACCGCAAGGAGCGCCCUAAGGUAAAACCGGUGACUGGGGCUAAGUCGUAACAAGGUAGC
rnacentral:rRNA from 1 species